UCUGAGAUUUAGUUCUGAUUGUGCCAUUAAUAGAACAUGAGCAAGACACAUAGCCUUUCUCUACAUUCCAAAGGAUAUAAAUGGAAUUGAGGCUGACUACUCAAAUCCACCUUUGGAUGUCCCCACCUUCCUAUGAAGUCUGUCACUGGCUUCUCUAUCCCUCGGGACUACAGAAGUAGGCUUAAAAUCUUCAUCUCCUGUAAGCCAUUCAGACAUUUGCAGAGAGCUGCCUUCAGUCUUAUUUUCUAAGGUGAGCACUUGGAGGCAAGCUUCAACACCUACCACGCCGUCAGGUGUGUUACAGGAGCAAUAU